UAAUACGUAGGGUGCGAGCGUUAAUCGGAAUUACUGGGCGUAAAGCGUGCGCAGGCGGUUUUGUAAGACAGGCGUGAAAUCCCCGGGCUCAACCUGGGAACUGCGUUUGUGACUGCAAGGCUAGAGUAUGGCAGAGGGGGGUGGAAUUCCACGUGUAGCAGUGAAAUGCGUAGAGAUGUGGAGGAACACCGAUGGCGAAGGCAGCCCCCUGGGCCAAUACUGACGCUCAUGCACGAAAGCGUGGGUAGCAAACAGGAUUAGAUACCCUGGUAGUCCACGCCCUAAACGAUGUCAACUAGGUGUUGGGAGGGUAAAACCUUUUAGUACCGGAGCUAACGCGUGAAGUUGACCGCCUGGGGAGUACGGCCGCAAGGUUAAAACUCAAAGGAAUUGACGGGGACCCGCACAAGCGGUGGAUGAUGUGGAUUAAUUCGAUGCAACGCGAAAAACCUUACCUACCCUUGACAUGUCCAGAAGCCCUUAGAGAUUUGGGUGUGCCCGAAAGGGAGCUGGAACACAGGUGCUGC
rnacentral:rRNA from 1 species